rnacentral:rRNA from 1 species
UACGAAGGGGGCUAGCGUUGUUCGGAAUUACUGGGCGUAAAGGGCGCGUAGGCGGCGUGUCAAGUCAGGCGUGAAAGCCCCGGGCUCAACCUGGGAAUUGCAUUCGAGACUGAAUAGCUAGGGUACGGUAGAGGGAAGCGGAAUUUCCGGUGUAGCGGUGAAAUGCGUAGAUAUCGGAAGGAACAUCAGUUGCGAAAGCGGCUUCCUGGACCAGUACCGACGUUCAGGCACGAAAGCGUGGGGAGCAAACAGG